rfam:Schistosoma haematobium scaffold1218_2, whole genome shotgun sequence.
AUCCAGUUGAUGAGUCUCAAAUAGGAGGAAACGUGUGUCCUGGAU